CUCCAAAAGAAUGGUAGGUGGUAAUGUUGGAGUGACAGGCUGACCGGCAUGAUAGGGCUUGAGAUAGGAAACAUGGAAAACAGGGUGGAUCUUGGACUCUGCUGGAAGGUCUAGUUUAUAGGCCAUGGUGCCAAUGCAUUCCAGAACCCGAAAGGGUCCGUAAAACCUGGCGGACAGCUUGUGAUUAGUUCUUUUUGCAACUGACUGUUGUCUAUACGCCUUUAAACGCAGCAGGACCAUGUCA
rnacentral:misc_RNA from 1 species